rnacentral:rRNA from 1 species
GAUGAGCGCUGGCGGCGUGCCUAAUACAUGCAAGUCGAGCGAACAGACGUGGAGCUUGCUCCUCUGACGUUAGCGGCGGACGGGUGAGUAACACGUGGAUAACCUACCUAUAAGACUGGGAUAACUUCGGGAAACCGGAGCUAAUACCGGAUAAUAUAUUGAACCGCAUGGUUCAAUAGUGAAAGACGGUUUUGCUGUCACUUAUAGAUGGAUCCGCGCCGCAUUAGCUAGUUGGUAAGGUAACGGCUUACCAAGGCAACGAUGCGUAGCCGACCUGAGAGGGUGAUCGGCCACACUGGAACUGAGACACGGUCCAGACUCCUACGGGAGGCAGCAGUAGGGAAUCUUCCGCAAUGGGCGAAAGCCUGACGGAGCAACGCCGCGUGAGUGAUGAAGGUCUUCGGAUCGUAAAACUCUGUUAUUAGGGAAGAACAAAUGUGUAAGUAACUAUGCACGUCUUGACGGUACCUAAUCAGAAAGCCACGGCUAACUACGUG